rnacentral:rRNA from 1 species
GACGGAAGGGGCGAGCGUUGAGCUCUUUGACUAGGCCUAAAACGUGGGUCGGCGGCUUUCUGCAUGAAGUUUUUCCCUAUGAAAUUAGGCAGGUUCUUCAACAAAGAAAACUGGAGUUUUACAAAGGGUUGAGGAACGAUUCAAGGACCGGUAGAAUGGAAGAAUAUGAAUCAGAACACCUAGAGCGAAAGCAUCAACCUCUGUAAGAACUGACGCCUAGCCACGGAAGUGCGAGGAUCAAAUGGG